UGUGGUUCCGGUGAGGUCGCCCUUCUAUGAAGGGAGGAAAGUCCGGACUCCAUAGGGCAAGGAGCUGCCAAAAGGCAGGUAGGGGCAACCCUACGGAUAGGGCCACAGAGAAAAGACUACCUGUCUCGAUAGGUGUUUGUAGGCUGUAAAAGCCGUAAAACCUAUCCAGACAGGUACAGGUGAAACGGUGGGGUAAAAGCCCACCAGCUGUCAGCGUGAGCUGGCAGGCUCGGUAACCCCCUCCUGGAGCAAUCCCAAGUAGGGAGGCUUUAAAGGUUGCCCGCCUGAUGCCUCCGGGUAGGGAGCUCAGAUAAAUGACCUCAAAAACAGAAUCCGGCUUACCAGGAACCACAGGCA
rnacentral:RNase_P_RNA from 1 species